GACAGAGGAAACUCAUCAGCAAGAGUCAGUACAGAGGGCUCAUCACUCCCAGACCCUGAAAAGAUCUGAGAUUGGAUUCUACCUCUACCCUAACGGGGCUUUCCCCAAGGCGGGUAGGAAGAGUUCCCAGAGAGUGGGGUUCAUGAACAGACAAACCGGACAGGUGAGGGAGACAAAAGCAACACAUGACUGUAAUAAACUAUUUUAUUCACAAAGUACAAUAAGGAAGUUUUGUCACCAGAUCCCUCUAUUUUGAAGCCUCUAAAGAAAAUAAAUUCAUGUUAUGAGCUCUGUAGAGUUAUCUUCUUUAGGUUUUAUAGAAUUGCUUACUUUUUUAAGAACCAGUCUCCUUUUUU
ensembl:ribozyme Gm22817 predicted gene, 22817